CGCCUCUUGCUAACAAAGGAAGUACUAGAGGUCCCGCCUGCCCUGUGACCACAAAGUUUAACGGCCGCGGUAUCCUGACCGUGCGAAGGUAGCGUAAUCAUUUGUCUUUUAAAUAGAGACCUGUAUGAAUGGCAUAACGAGGGUUUAACUGUCUCCUUCCCCUAGUCAAUGAAAUUGAUCUGCCCGUGCAGAAGCGGACAUAAACACAUAAGACGAGAAGACCCUAUGGAGCUUUAGACAAAAGAUCAAACAUGUAAAGAAACCAAACCAACCAAAAGGAACACGAAGGCCACAAAACCCAACGUAAACUGAUCUAAAUGUCUUCGGUUGGGGCGA
rnacentral:rRNA from 1 species